GGCACGUGCAUGUCACGUGCACGGGUGUCACGUACACACGUGUGCACGUGUGGUGCACCCACCUGCACGUGUGUCACGCAGACUGUCGCGUGCAUGUGUGCACGUGCAUGUAGUGUGCACACGUGUCGUGUACACGCGUGUACCGUGUCCGUGUGUGUUGUGUCCACGCACGUGUGCGCUUGCAUGCGUGUGGAGAAUCUCACCCCUGGAGGUGAAAGGCACACUGGUGUUAGAAGCUGUGGCACAGGCAGGGCGAAAGGUCCACGUGGCUUCCAGGGCUCCCCAGGCUGGGGAGCUCCUGCCCAUCUCCUUGCUCCCUGCCUCCGAAGAUUCCUUUAAAGAAGAUCAAGUCCUUUCAUCGGACACUUGGGGCGAGGCCAACAAGGCCAUGCCGGGGUGGCCCUUGGGUGUGGAGGAGCUUUGGUUAGAGCAGGGCCAGUCAGCAAGGGCUCAGGCGUCCUUUUCAGACCAUUUCCCCUGUGAGGCCGAGGGUGACGGGGGGAAGGUGGACUCAGUGGACGCGGGGACCCGCCUCUGCCUUUUGUCUGCAGGUCCCAGAGGCCUCGCACGUCGCUGGGGUGUGUUGUCAAGGGUUCAUCCUGCUGACAGGCAGGGCAUCGUAUUCCAAACAGCGCUAUUUGCAUCAGGCCUGUGCUGAGAACGCAGCUUCCUAGGAAACAGAGAAAGACUGCCCUCGGGGAGCUUGUAGUCAAACACUCAAGGACAUGACUAUGCUGUAAAUACUAGAAGGCUCACGUUUAUUGACCACAUUCUACGCCCAGAUGGAGGUGUUCUGCAGAGGUUGUCUUGAUACCUUCCACAGUUCCGGAAGGCAGGUAUUACUUACGUUUUAUGAAUGAAGAAGCAUAUUUAGAGAAAGGAAGCAACUUGUCUUAGGUCACACAGCUCACUGAGGGCAGAGAGGAGAAUCUGACCCUCACUGUCUGCCUAGCUACCCGCCGAGUGAGGUUGGCUGUGGGCCUGGGGUGUCCCGCACACACACAGGGCUCAGAGGAGCUGGAUUGCUGCCUUGCUCUCUCCUCUGGAGGUCCUGCUCCAGGUCAGGCUCCCCAGUGGCUGACCCGGCUCGCUGUGGCCGCCUGGGUAGAUGGGCUGGUGGCGGGGGUGGUGGAUCACCCUCAGGGCAGAGAGGACAGAGGUGCCCGUGCUCGGAUUCAAUCUCCUGUCUGGCGGUUGUCCAAGAACCAGCUGGACCGCUGCGCGCUGCGGUUGGACCCCUCUGGGGUCCCCGCCUCCCGAGGAGGGUCUCCAGGAAAUGUCUCCAGCAAAGACUUCGAGGAUACAACCUGCUGACUGCAUGGGGACGGCUGUGGCACACCCGAAGGCCCCCGUCUCAGUGCAGCGGGCGCGGAGACUCGCUGUCCUGGCUUUGAAUGUCCGCUGCCCUCCUCCCGGCCCCAUGACUCGGCUCCAGGGGUGGUUUCCUGUGGGCAGUAGGUGGUUCUCCCGCUUGAGAUGCAGUUGAAGAAGCUCUUCUCUUUGGAUUGAUGGUGGAGAAGCAGGCUGACCUGCUGGGCUUACAGCCUAAACCUUAGAUGAGAAAAAGUGAGGCCAGACCCUCCCACCGCUUCCUGAAAUCCUUCAGGACACUUCCUGGGGCUUCCUGAUGGUCCCAUGGUUAAGAUGCCGAGCUCCCGAAGCAGGGAGGCGGGCCUGGGUUCUAUUCGUGGUCAGGGAACUAGGCCCCACACGCCGCAGCUGAUACCAGGCGCAGCCGAGAAAACAUAUAAGAAAAUACUUUCUGAAAAUUCUUAGUGAGAGAGAGCAGAAAGCAAAGUAGUUGUUUGCUUGGACCAAAUGGACGGUGGAGAAAUUUGCUUAAGUCAACUGCAGGCUGGACGCCCUCUGCACAGGCUGUCCUAGGGUGGAGGUACGUCUUCCACUGGUAAACACCUGUACCUGGAAGGAGUCUUGAUAUGUGCUUUUUUUUUUUUUUAAUGAAAUCGUCUUAUCAGUCGAUCUUCAUGGGAGAAAUGUAUUCAUGUGUUGGUCUAUUCUACAAAUAUUUGUUAAGCUUGUACUGUUGGCCUGGCUCUGUGUGACAUGCUGAGGAGACAAAGGUCCAUUUAGAUCAGUGCCCUUGAGGACGGCACUCAGGUAAUGAAUAGACAAGGCUUGGGGACAAGUGAUUACAGUGACCUUGUGGGCAGUGGCUGGAGAUAAGUCUGGACUUCUAAGGAAACGAUGCUUGGGAUAGAGGGAAGACUUCCCUAGGGACGGGCAGUGUCUCAUGACGGUUAAGAGGUGUUCAGAGGAUGUCUCAGGGAGGAGAUGAGACUGGGCUUCUCAGGCAGAUGGAACCACAUGUCCAGAACCACAGAGGCUUGAUGGAGUUUCUCUAAGGAAUGGUAAUGUUGUUGUUUCGUCGCUAACUCUUGUCCGACUGUUUGUGACCCCAUAGACUGUAGCCCGCCAGGCUCCUCCGUCCAUGGACUUCUCCAGGCAAGAAUACUGGAGUGGGUUGCUGUUGCCUUCUCCAAGGAAGGGAUGGUAAUACUGGGAGGCAGAGGUUUUGAGGAAUAGAAUGUGAGACACUGCAUGUGAAAUGCACAGUUCUAGGGGCUUCCCUGGUGGUCCAGUGGUUAAGACUCUAGUCUUCCAAUGUAGGGGACACAGGUUCGAUCCCUAGUCAGGGAACUAAGAUCCCACAUGCCACCCGGUGUGGCCAAAACACAAAAAAUGUUUUUUUUAAUUAUCAAUGAAGUAUACACAGCUCCAUGCCAGGAAAUAGCCCUCGAAAAAACAUUAGCUCUUAUUGUCUUUCUAAUAAGAUAACUAAGGUCACUCCCCUUCCCCUCUUUGUCAGCCUUUUCUUUACUUUCUCUUGCAUCCUUAGUGUGUUUCUUCAUAAUGGGAUGAGAAACUUUAGGAUGGAUAAGUUGCCAAAGGAAAAUUUGACAUAACUAUUUCUCUUUGUGGAGCUUUGGGUAUUAUUUUCAAUGUAUUCUUAUCAUAUGUUGCUUUGAACUGGGCUGAUAUGUUUCCUUUCAAGAGUGACUAGAAUUUAGCACGGAUUGAAUCGAUGGCUGGAGUUUGUUGGAGAUGUGGAAUUAUGAUGAAUAACCAACGUGAUUGACGGUAGAAGUGAGUGUGUUUUUCAAAUCACUUUUUCACACCUCUGUUUUUAUGUACUCUGUGUGUGUAUGCGCACACAGGCGCACGCACGCUCAAUUGCUCAGUUAUGUCCAACUCGACAUAACUAUAGCAACCCAUGACUAUAGCCCAACAGGCUCCUCUGUCCAUGGAAUUUUCCAGGCAAGAAUACUGGAGUGUGCCAUUUCCUACUCCCGGGGAUAUUCCUGACCCAGGGAUCGAACCCGCACCUCUUGUGUCUCCUGCAUUGGUGGAUUCUUUAGCACUUUGCCACCUGGGAAGCCCUAUGUACUUCUGAGUUUAGGCGGAAAACCCCUUGGAGGGUAUUCAGCCGUGUAUCUUGGCGGAGGGGGGAAGCCGAGAGUGGUGGAUACCAGGGAGAGACUGAGGAGAGGAUAUACAACCAAGAUGCAGAAGACAUCCUCUUCCGUGAAAUGCUUUUCAAGUUUUAAUGUCCAAGCUCCUCUGGGAGAUUACAGACACAGGCAUGAACUGAUACUUCUAGGAGGUCUAGGGUUUGGUCUUGGCAGCCCAGAAGUUUCUUAGAAGUCCCUUUCAUUGACCCCAUCCCACCAUGAGAUGACACAUUGCAGACAAUACUGUUUGGGUUUCCCACCGGCUUUCAUCCCAAACUCGGGCACAAGCUACUAAAGAUGUUUGCCUCUGGCUUCUCCUCCCUGGUAAACUGUGGGUCCAGCACAAGUCAUUCCAGCCAGAGAACAUUGUCCAUUUCUUCCAGUUGGUUUCUGUGCGCUUAGCACAAAUUUUCUCACCAUUUGGGGUAACUCGUGGGCUGCAACCUGCAACAUUAUUGCAGGCUGUGUUCCUGUAUCAUGGGCUCACAGAUAGCUCCAGCCGGAAGCUUUUUCAUCAAGUGCCUUUAGGGUAGAUAGGAGAGGACUUCUGAUUCUUUUGUCAGACAUGCAUGGGAGUGGGUGUGAAGGGAUAGCCCAGGGAGCUGAUGUCCUGGAUGAGCAUCAAAGUGAAAGAAACACAUGUGCACAGAGAGAGAGUGACAGAAAGCCUUACGUCAGUGGCUGGAUUCUUUCCUUUUUUUCUGUAAAAUUUCAGCGAUCAGCAUGGUUAUAUUUUAAAGUUACAAGAAACAGGGACUUCGCUGGUGGUCUGGUGCUUAGGACUCCAUGCUUCCAAUGCAGGGGAGCGCGGAUCCGAUCCUUGGUUGGGGAACUAGGAUUCCCAUGUGGCAUUUGGCAUGGCCAAAGGAUAAAAAAAUAACUAAGUAAAAAAAUAAAGUGCAAGGAAUAAUCUAGCCUGGGUCCUCUCCUGGCCCACCCGUCCAGCUAUCUCCUGGUUCACCGCAGUUGAUGGGUCACGUCAUUAGGAAUAUCUCCUCUGUCCUUUAUGCCCACCCCCGUGGGAGUAUCUGAACGCGUUUCAGGACCUCAAGUGGGUAAAGGGUCUCUGAUUUCAUGCUGUCUGAGACAGGCUGCACUGGGGAUCAGUUUUGGAGACCAGACGGUCUCCCUCCAUUUUCCAAAUUCUUUAAUUAAUGAAGAGCAAAAGGACUUCCCUGGCGGUCCAGGAGUUAAGACUCUGCCUCCCAAGGCAUGGGGUGCAGGUUCCACCCCCGGUCAGGGAGCUAGGAUCCCAGGUACCCAUGGCCAAAAAACCACAGCAUAGAGCAGAAGCAACAUUGUAACAAAUUCAAUAGACUUUAAAAAAUGGUCCACAUCCAAAAAAAAAAAAAAGAACAAAGGGCGAGAACUUGCUGAAAUUCCUACUCUGCUCUCAUUGGGGUGGUUGUGAGAGUUGAUUAAAAUGACGAUGUUUAUUUUUUGGGUUGUUUCUGGCAUCAAAAGUGUGACAAUUAAUAGGUUCUCGGCUUCUAGAAGCAGAGAACGGACUUAUCUUUAACUACGCUGUGCGUGUGUACAAAUAAGUGUUGCUUUUUCUGGUGUGUGUGUGUGUAUACCUGGGCCCAUGUUCCCCGGCUGGCAUAUGUAUUUAUGCACAAACGUGCAGGACUAUAAAUAAAAACCACAAAUGAAUGCCUUGGAGGGAAGCGUGAGGGCUGCCCUUUUUGCUUGCUGCCGUCAGCGAGGCAGGCGCCUCUGCUUAGGCAGCGGAGUCGGGAAGAGCGGCUGUGGGAGGGGCUGGCGGAG
ensembl:lncRNA